GUCUGUGAGGACCCCAGUACACUGAGCUUUUUUAUGGCACGUAUUUGGUGGAGUCUAGACCCGNUCUUACCUAUAUUUUUUGUCAAGGUUGACCUCGGAUCAGGUAGGAAUACCCGCUGAACUUAAGCAUAUCAAUAAGCGGAGGAAAAGAAACCAACAGGGAUUGCCUCAGUAACGGCGAGUGAAGCGGCAACAGCUCAAAUUUGAAAUCUGGCCUUUUAGGUCCGAGUUGUAAUUUGUAGAGGAUGUUUUGGGUACCGCAGCCAUUUAAAUUUCUUGGAACAGAAUGUCAGAGAGGGUGAGAGUCCCGUCUGGAAUGGCAGUAGGGCCUGUGUAAAACUCCUUCGACGAGUCGAGUUGUUUGGGAAUGCAGCUCAAAAUGGGUGGUAAAUUUCAUCUAAAGCUAAAUAUUGGCCAGAGACCGAUAGCGCACAAGUAGAGUGAUCGAAAGAUGAAAAGCACUUUGAAAAGAGAGUUAAACAGUAUGUGAAAUUGUUGAAAGGGAAGCGCUUGCAACCAGACUUGAGUGUAAUGGUUCCCCCCUGCUUUUGCUUGGGCUACUCCGUCAUAUUCAGGCCAACAUCGGUUUUAAGGGUUGGUUAAAGGCCUUAGGAAUGUACCUUCUUCAGGGGAGACUUAUAGCCUAGGGCGUCAUGCAGCCUCCUAAGACCGAGGAAUGCGCUUCGGCGAGGAUGUUGGCGUAAUGGUUGUAAGCGACCCGUCUUGAAACACGGACCAAUGUGAUGCCU
rnacentral:rRNA from 1 species